AUGUGCUGGUUUUGCCUCCAUAUGCCACCAGCCAUUCACCACAUCCCUCCAGCCUGGUGCCAGCUUGUCCUCCAGCCUGGUGGCAAUGCAAAGGUGGCUCGGCUCCAGCAGGUGUAUGUCACAGUCACACCUUACCUCAUCAGCCGCUCGCAGGUGGCAAGGAGCUGCAAGUAUGUGCAAGGAUCCCACACCUCGCGGACUUUGCUUUACUUUAUCAGCUUCUCAUCCUUUCCCUGGGCCUCUCCCAACAUGUGCAUUCCUGUGUGGUACUUGCAUGACUCUUUUUGUAUUCAAGAACUUCCUCCUUUCUGCUGUUCACCUUCUACUGAGGUCAAACAGGUGGCACCUGGGAAGCUGCGCCACUUGGCAAUUGGAUCUUUUAAAGCUGAUUUAGGGAGACUUCUGAUCAGAUCUGUUGAGAAGCGGCAAGCGCGUCAACAGCUCGACUUCAGCAGUGAUUACACAGCUACACAAGGAUGCCAAAAGACUAACUCUGAGGGGAUGAACAGGAUUGUGGAAAUUCACCCCCUGCGUCUUCUGCAGGUUGGUGGAGUCAGGAGAGGUGGGGAUGAUGGGGAUUAAUGAUUUUCCCCUCUCACACAAACGUCAGAAAUCUCUGAAGAGCUAUGCUCAUGUACAAAAGCUAACACAAAUGUGUGCACUCAAGGGAAACAGCCAUUUGGCCAAUUUGUCUUUAUAAUAUUGAUUCAGUCAAGUGCUAUAAAUGGAGGAGAAGCCUUUAAGUCUAAGUACCAAAGUGCCAUGCCCAUUUGAUGUAAUGAGCACACUUUCGGGAAACUACCUGCUCUCCAGGCUUCUGGGAGGUCAGCUCAUGGGCUCAGAUAAAACCUUUUAGGUGGUAGAUGCCUGAAAAUGAAAGAAAAGCCUCUUCUUUCAGGUAUGCAAAUGCGCAGCAGGAUGUGUUUUUGCUGUGGGUGAAUUUCCAAACAAGCCAGAGCUGGCAGCAGCGGGUCCUUGCUGGAUGUCCAGACGUGUCCCACCAUGAUGAGGUCUUGGUGGUGACAUGGACAUGCCAAAAGUGUUAACCAAAAGUGUUGGCUCAGUGGUGGUGGAACUGGAGGUGGAGGAACUGCCCCUUUCAUGAGUAUUUCACAGAUUUCUGUGAAAUAAACUCUGCGCCCUGGAUCA
rnacentral:lncRNA from 1 species